AUUUGCUAUAAAUACAUAAAAUUUGUCUCUUGGAUUUAGGGUUUUAAAUUCCAAAAUUCAAUUGCCGCAGCUGCUUGUUUUUUUAACAAAGAUCUAAUAUUUUGUCUCUUGGAGAUUUAGGCUUUGAAAUUCAACAUAGAUAUGCAUGCUGCCAUAAGUUUGUUUUAACAUCUUUGUUCCUUUGUAUCUUUGUUCCUUUGUUUUAACAUCAGGUAUAUGUCUUUUCAUUUAUGAUUACACAACCCAGUUCUAUUCUCUGUAGAUUCAUAUGUUGCGUUUACACUUGGUAGAUGACGGCGACGAAGAAAUAAAAAUAAUUUUCAUAUGAUGAGCAUCAAAGUGUUCCCUGAAAGGUGGGGAGAUUAGAUCAAGAUUAAAAAAAAAAAACGCAACAUAUGAAUCUACAGAGAAUAAAAUAUUAGAUCUACCUUAAAAAAAACAAUGGAGCAGCAGCUGCGGCAAUUGAUUUUUGGAAUUUGAAACCCUAAAUCCAAGAGAUAAAUUUUAUAUAUUUAUAGCAAAUUAGAGAAGCAAUUGGUGGUUUAUCUGUCAUGUGAGAGGUAGCUCUUGUGUCCAUGUACCACUACUCAUCAUGAGGAGUUAUAGACAGAGUGUGCAUUCUGUUGGUGUGUAUGAUGGUUGUGCUGAUGCGACAUGUGCUUCAUGUGGUCUAUGCCCAAGAAUGCCUGGUUGACGGUUGAGAGCGGCUGGUUGCUGCCAAUUUCCAGUUGUAGGGUAUGGACAUGGAAGAGUGACCCAUGGAGGAUAUGCCCAAGGUGGAUAUGCUCAUGGCUGUUGUGAGGGUUGAUUCCACGUCCCGUGUUGCUAAUGGUGUGUGAUCGGCCACCUCGACCUCGGUUCCUACCACCACGGUUGUUGCUACCGGAAUCGCCACGGCUGCCGCGACCACCUGAGUUGUUGUUAUUAGAGCGGUUGGCGCGCAUGUGAGGAGCAGCGGGAGCAGGGGCGAUUGCUUUCCUAUGGAAGGGGUAGCUAUGGCUACCCCAUAGUAAAAAAAAAUAAUAAAAAAAAAAUUGAAUGAGUUGGUAUAUUUUUAUAUUAAACUACCCCUUAUAAUAUACAUUUGGCUACCCCAAGUUUAAUUUUAGGUGAAAUUAUUUUGACUUUACUUACUUUUCUAUCGAACUCAGGUUAUUUGAUCUUGUCUUUUAGAAAUCGGAGGGUAAACACCAAAAAAAAAAUGAUUGAUUGACAAUGAAAAUAUGACGACAACAACAAUCUAUCACUUCCUCACAAAACAAAUAUUCUAUCACUAUUGGUCUAAACAUAUUUAACGGCACUGUAUUAUUGUAAAAAUAAACCCUUUCUAUUUUUAACCACCCCAUUCUAUUUCUUCAUCCUAAUAUCACAACCUUCAAUCAUCCUUACUGUUAGAUCUAACAAUGGUGCGUUUGGAGAACUUUACAAUGUAUACGAAGGACCGUGCUGCUGCUGCAUUGAUCUCGUGCAAAGUGCAAGGGAAUGUGGUCCGGCUAUUGACAGUGCUGUUAGAAGGGACUUGGUUAACCUUAGGACAUCUCACAUGGAAUAUGAUAUCUGCAGUAAGGGAAGGCUGCCUGCUUGCUUUGCAAGAGGAUUUGGGUUAGAAGUCGCCCCUUACGCUGUGUUAUGUGAUCCGAAUCAGAAUGAGAUCGAAGUGGCCAUUGAGAAGAGGAAUGGUAGGUUUUUAUUGCAGAUGGCUGGGAGAUCCUAAAGAGGUUUUAUAAGAUUUUUUCCGGCACUUGGAUCACGGUGGUGUACGCAGAUAGACACCUUUUUGUGUUGGAAGUCAGAGAUUUCCAUGGACAAGAAUUGGUGUAUCCACAAUUCACUCCUCCUCAAAGAUUGCUGCUGGAGAAUCAUAGGAUAUACGAGAAAUGGCAACUAUUACUUUGUUGAUAUAUUAUGCAUAUUUGAUCUCAAUGAAGUGAUCUUUUCAUUAUGUUGCUGCAUGAUGUUACAAUCUUUUUAGGCGGAGAGGAGGGGAUGAUCUUGAACAAAGUCAUAUUAAAUGGGUGGAAACUGUAAAAUUGGCACCAGACAUCAUUAACAUGAAAUUUACACCCAUCGUUUCUCUUCUUGAAGGAGUACAUGGCGUAAAGCUUUUGGAACGUGCUAUUGAUCUAUAUCUACAGUUCUCUGAGGCCAUACCUAGAAGUAGAUAUUAGUGGGCGACAAUAAUAAAAGUCAAGGUAAUCUCUUAGACAUGUUGGAGUAUAUCUACUAUAAUCAAUUUCCUCUCAUGGACAACUAUAUGUGCCUCUAAGAAAGGCUUGAAGAUACCGGUAAUUGACGAAAAAAAUUGAAGAUGUAGAUGUAAUGUCAAAUGUAGUUUACAAAGACAUUUCAUAAUGUUCAAUAGUUACUUACAAAAAUGUAUUG